rnacentral:misc_RNA from 1 species
GAUGAAGAACGUAGCGAAAUGCGAUACGUAAUGUGAAUUGCAGAAUUCAGUGAAUCAUCGAGUCUUUGAACGCACAUUGCGCCCCCUGGUAUUCCGGGGGGCAUGCCUGUCCGAGCGUCAUUGCUGCCCUCAAGCACGGCUUGUGUGUUGGGCCUCCGUCCUCCUCCCGGGGGACGGGCCCGAAAGGCAGCGGCGGCACCGCGUCCGGUCCUCGAGCGUAUGGGGCUUCGUCACCCGCUCUUGUAGGCCCGGCCGGCGCUUGCCGACACAUCAAUCUUUUUUCCAGGUUGACCUCGGAUCAGGUAGGAAUGCCCGCUGAACUUAAGCAUAUCAAUAAGCGGAGGA